GCCGGAGUGGCGGAAUGGCAGACGCCAGGGACUUAAAAUCCCUUGUCCCUCACGGGGCGUCCCGGUUCGAGUCCGGGCUCCGGCACCA
rnacentral:tRNA from 1 species